rnacentral:lncRNA from 1 species
GGCUUAUGUUAAAUAAUUACAAACUGACAAGCUCAGUCCUAGAUCCGAUAAGUAUAAUUUCAUAAGUAUCUCAACAAAAUAAGAAGAUAUUAUUUUUACCUACCUGCUGAACAAAAAGUAUUUAUCAACAAUAAGACACACUUUUUGAAAAAAAAAUUCCUUAGUGAAGGAAUAAGUGUCUUUAAAAUUGAACUUGAUGAAGUUCGACAGGUAGAAAAAUCGACACCAAUGAUUGAAUCUGAAUCAGAUUUGAUAAGAUCAAAUCCGAAGCUCAAUGAACAAAUAUUUUUAUGGC